CGAGAGAUAAGGACAAUACAUCGACCCCAUCGGCGAUGGCAUCAUCAAACGCCUUCAUGAUUGACGACCCAUGACAGCCGUCGGCCACGCAGACUCUGUACAUGGCGAUCCUUGAGCCGGGGGACCCGCCCUUGGCCGUCCCUUCUGCGAGGCCAUAGUAUGAUGCAUUAGCCACGGCGCUGCCGGCCGCCGUUGAUGCAACGUGGGUGCCAUG
rnacentral:misc_RNA from 1 species